UGAACUAAUGCAACCCCUCGUGAUGCUGCAAUUGUGAAUUUCGGUUAUCAUUCUGCCCACAAGGGUAGCUGUGGUCGAGUUGGUAAGAUUAUUAUAUGGAGCUAUAAUCUGUUUCUUCCAUUCCCUAGCAUGCAUAGUUGGUUUACAGAAUCGACAGAUUGAGCCAUAAAAAAUCUAAUAAAUGGUCUAUAAUAGAGCAGUAUCGUUUAAAGUUUCAAAUACAUUGAUUUGUUUGUAAUUGGGUCAAUAUGGUUAAGGCUAUGCCGGACGCGUUUUUUCAUCUUUAAUGGUAUAUUUUUGUUUAAUUAAAAUUUAAUUUAAUCUAUGUGCGCUAUAUUUAGGUGUUUGUUCCAAAUUGAUAAAUGUGAAUUUAUUAAAUGUUGAUUUUGUAUGGAAACAGGUUAACAUUUGGUUGGAGCACCUCAACAAUGUCGCUGCAAAUAGAGAAAGGGGCCAGGCAAAGGCUGCAGAGACACGGUCUCUGAAAAAGAAAGAGUUGAGGACAGAGACAACUCCUGGUGGUGCUGCCACAUCGACUGCGACUACCCAUAGAAGUUCCGCUAGGAGCCCAAACCAUAGCCAGGCUCAGAGUGCACCAGACAAUAUCAUGGUAGAUGUUUCGAGGUUUGGACGGAGGAGGGUACCAAAAAGAUUUGAUGAAUAUAUUAUGUAAAAACAAUAAAAAUAAAAAUAAAAAAUGAAGUUC